AGUGAACGCUGGCGGCGUGCCUAAUACAUGCAAGUCGAACGAUGAAGUCCUAGCUUGCUAGGAUGGAUUAGUGGCGCACGGGUGAGUAAUAUAUAGUUAAUCUGCCCUACACAGAGGAACAACAGUUGGAAGCGGCUGCUAAUACCUCAUACUCCUAUUUGACAUAAGUUAAAUAGGGAAAGUCUUUUCGGUGUAGGAUGAGACUAUAUCGUAUCAGCUAGUUGGUAAGGUAAUGGCUUACCAAGGCUAUGACGCGUAACUGGUCUGAGAGGAUGAUCAGUCACAUUGGAACUGAGACACGGUCCAAACUCCUACGGGAGGCAGCAGUAAGGAAUAUUGCGCAAUGGGGGAAACCCUGACGCAGCAACGCCGCGUGGAGGAUGACACUUUUCGGAGCGUAAACUCCUUUUAUCAGGAAAGAAUAAUGACGGUACCUGAUGAAUAAGCACCGGCUAACUCCGUGCCAGCAGCCGCGGUAAUACGGGGGGUGCAAGCGUUACUCGGAAUCACUGGGCGUAAAGGACGCGUAGGCGGAUUAUCAAGUCUUUUGUGAAAUCUAGUGGCUUAACCACUAAACUGCUUAGGAAACUGAUAGUCUAGAGUAGGGGAGAGGUAGAUGGAAUUCUUGGUGUAGGGGUAAAAUCCGUAGAGAUCAAGAAGAAUACCCAUUGCGAAAGCGAUCUGCUGGAACCUAACUGACGCUGAGGCGUGAAAGCCGGGGUACCAAACAGG
rnacentral:rRNA from 1 species